rnacentral:rRNA from 1 species
GACGAACGCUGGCGGCGUGCUUAACACAUGCAAGUGGAGCGACGAACCAGGCUUCGGCCUGGGGCAGAGCCGCGAACGGGUGAGUAACACGUGGGUAACCUGCCUCGAUGACCGGGACAACCCGAGGAAACCCGGGCUAAUACCGGAUGUGCUCCUUCACAUCAGUGAAGACAGGAAAGGAAGCUUCGGCCUCCGCAUCGAGAUGGGCCCGCGGCCCAUUAGCUUGUUGGUGAGGAACGGCUCACCAAGGCUGCGAUGGGUAGCUGGUCUGAGAGGACGAUCAGCCACACUGGGACUGAGACACGGCCCAGACUCCUACGGGAGGCAGCAGUGGGGAAUCUUGCGCAAUGCGCGAAAGCGUGACGCAGCAACGCCGCGU